UACGUAGGGGCCAAGCGUUGUCCGGAUUUAUUGGGCGUAAAGAGCUACGUAGGCGGUUCGGCUAAGUCAGCUGUGAAAUCCUCCACGCUCAACGUGGAGGGGUCAGCUGAUAACUGCUGUGACUCGAGUCCGGGUAGGGGAGUGUGGAAUUCCCGGUGUAGCGGUGAAAUGCGCAGAUAUCGGGAGGAACACCAGUAGCGAAGGCGGCACUCUGGGCCGGUACUGACGCUGAGGAGGCG
rnacentral:rRNA from 1 species